rnacentral:rRNA from 1 species
UUCUGCCCUAUGAUUAUUUAAAUGGCUGCAGUAUUUUGACUGUGCAAAGGUAGCAUAAUAAUUAGUCAUUUAAUUGUUGACUUGUAUGAAUGAUUAAAUGAGGAAUAAUUUUUAUUAAUUUAAUUUUUAAAAUUUUAUUUUUAGGUAAAAAAGCUUAAUUUAUUUUUAGGGACGAAAAGACCCUAUAGAACUUUAUUAGUAUUUUUAUAAUUUUAUUUUUGUUUUUAGUUUUUUAUUAUAAUAAUAUUUUUUUGAUUGGGGGGGUAAAUAAAUUUAACUUUAUUUUUUUUUUUCAUUAUUUUAUGAUUUUUUUGUUCCUAAUUUUUAGAUUAAAAGUUUUAGUUACCUUAGGGAUAACAGCGUAAUUUUAAUGGAAAGUUCAUAUUUAUAUUAAAGUUUGCGACCUCGAUGUUGAAUUAAGUUAAUAAAGGGGGGUAG